UACGGAGGGUGCGAGCGUUGUUCGGAAUUAUUGGGCGUAAAGCGCGUGUAGGCGGUUUUUUAAGUCUGAUGUGAAAGCCCUGGGCUCAACCCGGGAAGUGCAUUGGAAACUGGGAGACUUGAAUACGGGAGAGGGUAGUGGAAUUCCUGGUGUAGGAGUGAAAUCCGUAGAUAUCAGGAGGAACACCGGUGGCGAAGGCGGCUGCCUGGACCGAUAUUGACGCUGAGACGCGAAAGCGUGGGGAGCAAACAGG
rnacentral:rRNA from 1 species